AACUCUCCUAGUCGUAGGUGUUGGCAUAAAGGUAAAUUAUGUGCCUUGACUGGGUUGAGAUUCUGGAGGUGCUGAUAAGCUUAUAUCUUCUUCUGUUUCCUCCUCUAUUAAAGAUCUUUGCUUCUUUUGAGGUUGGUUUGCAUUGACUUUCCCUUUUGAUGGCUGUUAAACAAAGAAGAUAAUUCAGGUAAUAUACACAAAAAUAAAUAAAGCUAAACACAACUAGAUUAUUGAGGUAAGUUACG
rnacentral:lncRNA from 1 species